AUUGAACGCUGGCGGCAUGCCUAACACAUGCAAGUCGAGCGAGAGGCGGACGGGUGGGUAAGGUAUGGGCAUCUGCCCGGGGGAGGGGGACAAGUACUGGUAACGGUGGCUAAUACCGCAUACUAACGGCUGAACCGAUAUGGGAUUAGGGAGUAGGGGGGGUAAAGGCACACCAAGGCGACGAUCUGUAGCUGGUCUGAGAGGAUGAUCAGCCACACUGGGACUGAGACACGGCCCAGACUCCUACGGGAGGCAGCAGUGGGGAAUUUUGCACAAUGGGCGCAACCCUGAUGCAGCCAUGCCGCGUGUAUGAAGAAGGCCUUCGGGUUGUAAAGUACUUUUGGCAGGGAGGCGGUACCUGCAGAAGAAGCACCGGCUAACUACGUGCCAGCAGCCGCGGUAAUUC
rnacentral:rRNA from 1 species